GUUUACACCAAGUAGGGGAGCAGGUGCCUUAAAGUCUGGCUUCGCCCCCAAAAGACUGAACAGCUCUGAUUUAUGGGAUUUAUAGCCCCUAAGGAGCAGGUGACUGAUCAUAUGACUAAGAACAUGGCCCACUGGGAAAAGAGGCAGGAAAUAAAAGAACGCUGUUUGUGUGGUGUGUGACACUCCAACACAUGGGAGGGAUUUGAGACAUGG